rnacentral:rRNA from 1 species
AGCGGCAGGCUUAACACAUGCAAGUCGAGGGGCAGCACGGGUAGCAAGUACCUGGUGGCGACCGGCGCAAGGGUGCGUAACGCGUGAGCAACAUGCCCUAUACAGGGGGAUAAUCCAGGGAAACUUGGUCUAAUAUCCCAUAGUAUUUAGAGGAGGCAUCUUCUAUAAAUUAAAGCUUCGGUGGUAUAGGAUUGGCUCGCGUGACAUUAGCUAGAUGGUGAGGUAACGGCUCACCAUGGCAAUGAUGUCUAGGGGUUCUGAGAGGAAGGCCCCCCACACUGGGACUGAGACACGGCCCAGACUCCUACGGGAGGCAGCAGUGAGGAAUAUUGGACAAUGGAUGGAAAUCUGAUCCAGCCAUGCCGCGUGCAGGAAGACAGCCCUAUGGGUUGUAAACUGCUUUUAUAUGGGAGCAAUAAGGUCUACGUGUAGACUGAUGAGAGUACCAUAUGAAUAAGCAUCGGCUAACUCCGUG